CUCAGGAAUGUACCGAUCCCAUAUAAUAUCUUCCCUCCUAUGCCUAGAAGGAAUAAUACUUUCCCUAUUUGUAAUAAUGACUAUCACCAUCCUAAAUACCCAUCUCACACUAGCAACCAUGCUACCUAUUAUCUUACUAGUGUUCGCGGCCUGCGAAGCAGCACUAGGCCUCUCCCUCUUAGUUAUAGUAUCUACUACUUAUGGAACAGAUUAUGUCCAAAACCUUAACCUUCUCAAAUGUUAAAAAUCAUUGUACCCACUAUCAUGCUCAUCCCCCUUACCUGAUUCUCCAAACCAAAAAUAAUCUGAAUCAAUACUACAAUCCACAGUCUGAUAAUUAGCAUCCUAUGAUUUCCUCUCAUAAAUCAAUUCGCCGACAACAGUCUCAACCUAUCCACAAUAUUCUUUUCUGACGCCCUAUCCACCCCACUACUCAUACUAACAAUAUGGCUACUGCCCUUAAUAAUUAUCGCCAGUCAAUUCCACUUAUCUAACGAAACUCCACCCCGAAAAAAACUCUAUCUUACUAUAUUAAUCUCACUCCAAACGUUUCUAAUUAUAACUUUCACCGCCACAGAACUUAUCAUAUUCUACAUCCUAUUUGAAGCCACCUUACUCCCAACCCUAAUCAUUAUUACACGAUGAGGAAACCAAGCAGAACGCCUAAAUGCAGGACUAUGUUUCCC